GACGAACGCUGGCGGCGUGCCUAAUACAUGCAAGUCGAACGCAUUUUCUUUCACCGUAGCUUGCUACACCGACAGAAAAUGAGUGGCGAACGGGUGAGUAACACGUGGGUAACCUGCCCAUCAGCGGGGGAUAACACUUGGAAACAGGUGCUAAUACCGCAUAAUUCCAUUUACUGCAUGGUAGAUGGAUGAAAGGCGCUUUUGCGUCACUGAUGGAUGGACCCGCGGUGCAUUAGCUAGUUGGUGGGGUAACGGCCUACCAAGGCUGCGAUGCAUAGCCGACCUGAGAGGGUGAUCGGCCACACUGGGACUGAGACACGGCCCAGACUCCUACGGGAGGCAGCAGUAGGGAAUCUUCGGCAAUGGACGCAAGUCUGACCGAGCAACGCCGCGUGAGUGAAGAAGGGUUUCGGAUCGUAAAACUCUGUUGUUAGAAAAGAACAAGGAUGAGAGUGGAAAGUUCAUCCCUUGACGGUAUCUAACCAGAAAGCCACGGCUAACUACGUG
rnacentral:rRNA from 1 species